rnacentral:lncRNA from 1 species
CUUUGUCCAUCAUCCUCUCUGUUCCCCUGAGGCACCAAGGGGUGUGACUCAGGAUAGCCUUAGAGUGGCAGAGUCCUCAGGCAGGGGAUUUCUGGGUAGGGCUCAGUGAUGCCGAGCUGCCCAGUUGUAUUUGGUGGCAUCAGACCCCUGGUGUCCUCUGACCAUGCGCAUCCCUCUGCGUGAGGUGGACCCUGCGGCCUGCAGAACAGAACAGUGAGAUAUUGGAUCCAACAGUGCCAGCCUGGAACCAUGUCUUGAGCUCCCAGCCUCAGGACCCAGCAGUGGGAGCCGUGGACCACUGCUCUGGAGUCUGCAGCAGAGCAGAAGAUCUUCAUUCCCAGGUCCCUCUGGGCUCCAGGCCUGGCUCUUCAUGCCCCCAAAGGCAUUAAGAUGCCUGGCUGAACAAAAGGACCCUAGUCUCCAACCUUAGCUCUUAAAAAUAAUAAAAAUACAGAUGCUUAUAAUCAAAUGGCUUUUCUUAUUGUUUUGCUUCAUUUUCACUUAACAGAUCAAACUCUGAGGCAAGACUCCUGUCCUUGACCAGACAAGAAUCCCAAGGGCCCCUUGGUGCCAGCGCCCUAGCUUCCUCCAAGACUCUACAGAACACAAGAGAGAAUAAAGCAAGCUUUCUUCAGCUCAGGACCACCACGUGGAAAAAGCCUAACCCGGCUGGAAAGGGGCAGGGGGCAGGGCCUGGAGCCAAGGAAAUCUCUUCAAGGAAAAAAAGAAAAAAACAACCCUCUUUACUCUCUCCCCAUAGUGACAAAUUUAACUUGUCAGAUGCAAGUUCAACUUAUGGACGACCUGCUCAUGACUGAUAAUCUCCAUAGUAACUGCUGUGUCACGUGAUGACACAGCCCCGGCAGAGCUGGGAGAGCAGCUCUCCAGACUUCUGGCAUAUGCCACCAAGUCAGCCUAAUUAACAGGCGUGGAAUGGAGACUUGGGUUUAAGUCAUCGACAUACAUUCUAAAAGAAGAACGAAGAUAUUCUAGCACCUUCUCUUCCCAUUCAGAGGGCCCUGUGCCUGGAUCAAGG